rnacentral:rRNA from 1 species
CGGUGGAGCCUGCGGUUUAAUUGGUACUCAACGCCGGGAAACUCACCAGUUAAGACAGCUGAAUGAUAGUCGGGCUGAAGACUCACUUGACUAGCUGAGAGGAGGUGCAUGGCCGUCGUCAGUUCGUACUGUGAAGCAUCCUGUUAAGUCAGGCAACGAGCGAGACCCACGCCAACAGUUGCCAGCUCGUCCUCCGGGAUGGUGGGGACACUGUUGGGACCGCCUCUGCUAAAGAGGAGGAAGGAAUGGGCAACGGUAGGUCAGCAUGCCCCGAAUUAACUGGGCUACACGCGGGCUACAAUGGGUGGGACAAUGGGUAUCGACACCGAAAGGUGAAGGCAAUCUCCUAAACCCAUCCUUAGUUCGGAUUGUGGGUUGCAACUCACCCACAUGAAGCUGGAAUCUGUAGUAAUCGUGUCUCAAAAUGGCACGGUGAAUAUGUCCCUGCUCCUU